rnacentral:rRNA from 1 species
UAAGGAAUAUUGGACAAUGGACGCAAGUCUGAUCCAGCCAUGCCGCGUGAAGGAUGACUGCCCUCUGGGUUGUAAACUUCUUUUAUAGGGGAAGAAAGUUAUUUUUUAGGAUAUUUGACGGUACCCUAUGAAUAAGCACCGGCUAACUCCGUGCCAGCAGCCGCGGUAAUACGGAGGGUGCAAGCGUUAUCCGGAUUCACUGGGUUUAAAGGGUGCGUAGGCGGGUAUGUAAGUCAGUGGUGAAAUACCGGAGCUUAACUUCGGAACUGCCAUUGAUACUAUAUAUCUUGAAUAUUGUGGAGGUAAGCGGAAUAUGUCAUGUAGCGGUGAAAUGCUUAGAGAUGACAUAGAACACCGAUUGCGAAGGCAGCUUGCUACGCAAAUAUUGACGCUGAGGCACGAAAGCGUGGGGAUCAAACAGGAUUAGAUACCCUGGUAGUCCACGCCCUAAACGAUGAUUACUCGACAUUAGCGAUACACAGUUAGUGUCUGAGCGAAAGCAUUAAGUAAUCCACCUGGGAAGUACGACCGCAAGGUUGAAACUCAAAUGAAUUGACGGGGUCAUAGCUGUUUCCU